AAGAAGAUACCAGGUUGCAUAAUCCAUCACCAAACCCCCCAAAAAAGCCAGGUCCACCCCAGAAACCACCGCCACCCCAUGGCCCCCCAGGCCCGGGGCCCCAGCCACCAGGUCCUCCAGGUCCCGGGCCUCCCCAGCCACCAGGUCCUCCAGGUCCAGGGCCUCCCCAGCCACCAGGUCCUCCAGGCCCAGGGCCUCCCCAGCCACCUCCUCCUGGCCCUCCACCUCCACCGCCAGGUCCGCCAGGUCCGCCAGGUCCGCCAGGUCCCAUAACUAACCCUUUAUCUCAGAGUGCCAACUGCCCAGCAAAAGAGAAGAGAACCUUCAAGUCUGGAGGUGUAGCUGAAUCUGAUGAUCCUAGUAAAAACAGAAAACCAAAGCCGAACUAAACAAGUUUAGUUGAAUGUAUAUAAACAAAAAAUGUGGGAAGUGGGAAGAGAGAGAGGCCGGCAGGCAGGCAGCGUGAGCUUUCUUAACCUGGAAGCAAGCAUUUGAAGAUAUUAUGUACAAACACUUCUACCAACUCUUCACUUUAAACCUGCAAGUCAAACCACACAAGAAGACAACUAUCCUUCUUCAACUUACCAGUCUUACACCUUGCAAUCUAUAUGUUUGUCGGCAAGAAGAACAAAAUUCGCCGGGAAAUCUCUAUCCCGUAGAAAACUUGUCGGAAAGGAUCAAAAUUCCCAAAUUGGGAUGCCACUUGUAUGAAACUUCUAGGCUCUCUAUUUUUUUCUUUUCUUUUCUUUUCAUUUUGCUUCUCGUUGGUUUCACUUUCAGGUUCAUAUACGAGCACUGGUUCAUGCAUGCCUCACGCUGCACCAAAAUUACUGCCUCUAAAGCCCAAUCGCCCCAAAGGAUGAAAUAAGCCUAAUUGUUGCCACAAACUCUUUUCUUUUCUUGCCAAACAAACAGUAUAUACUGGUUUAUGAUGUUAAAAACAGAGUUUUAAAGAGACAGAGAGAAAAGGGGGCCUCAGAUUAGCAUAUUGGCACAUUCCUCAUCCCAACGACAACCCAUGCGCAUAAACGUCGUCGCUGCUUAUGGCCUUUAUGCUUCUCAUCAUCAGCGAUUACUCAAUUCCAGAAAUACAAAAAUCCUGUUUUUGCCAAAUUUUGAACACCCUUAACCGAAUUAACCCACACAGAAUCAAUUUUAUCAUCACAAUAAAUAAAAACAAAAGGAAAAGAUUGGAUCUUUCUGAAAUUAAGAACUCACAAAAACAGCGAGCAAAACUCCGAAUAGGGUUUUGAUAAAUAACACCGCCUGCCGUGUCAGAAGCUUUGCUUAUAUUUAGGAUAAAUCAAGUAGAUUCAGGGCAAGUUUGGGAUUGCAAAAAGUUAGUGGCGUUCGGUUACGUUUUAAGGGGUUAUUUUUAUUUUUAGAGCACAAAAAUGAGGCAAAAACACGUUUGAUGGCCCAAAAACCAAAAACAUUGAGAAUGUUUUCAUAAAAUGAAAACAAGUUCAUGUGUACUUGUAGAAAACAUAAAAAAGUUGUUUUCAUUCUUAUGGGAAACGUUUUCAUAAAAAUAACUCACAUAUUAUUAUUUCAAAUUGUACUACCAGACACGUUUUCAUUGCUUUUGUUUUCUAAAUAUGUUUUCUAAUUAAUCUACCAGAUGCAUUUUCAUUUCCUGAAAAUGCAAAUUCAUUUUCUUGUUUUCAUUAUCUGAAAAUAUUGUAAGAAAACGUUACCGAACAUGACUUUUGUUGUGUUUUGAAAAUAAUUAGUUAUAAAGUAAAACAACUCCACGUUGCUAAAAAAAUUAUUUUAAAAAGUGUCGCUGGUACAAAAAAUGGUGUCAAAAUCGUUUGGUAAAUUUUAAUAUAAAAUUGUUGUAACUGUAAAUAAUAACUAAAAUAGACAUGAUGUUGAAAGUGUUAUGCGCUAAUCAUGUGGUGAUAGUCGUGGUGGUAGUUAAAGAGAUAGAGGUGAAGGUGGCAGUGAAAAAGGCAGUGGUAGAGGAGAUGAUGAAGGUGGAGGUGGUGGAGGUUGAUGAGGAGGUGGUAAUUUUGGUGGUGAUGGUGGCGGAGAAGGAGGAGGAUGAUGUGGUGGUGGUGGUGGAGGAGGUGGUGGAGUUGGAUCUGGAGGCGGAGGUGUAUUUUGGAAAUUUUAAAAAAAUUCAUCAAAUGCUCAUCUCUGCUUAUUUUGAAAGCAGGUUUGAAAAGCAACUCAUAACCUGCUUUUAAAAGUUGUUGUCAAGAGACAACUGUUUUUAAAAUAAUCAGGAUAUUUUAUUUUUACUAAAUAUCUUAAACAACUUAAAUUUAAAGUGAAGUAGGUUUUUGACCACCAACAAAAAAAAAAAAGCAAUCCCAAACAAGGGUGGUGCCUUGCAACUUUAUGUGCUUCCACUUUUACCCUAAGUGAAUUAUUAUUAUUUUGAUAAAAGAGUUAAUAGUUUAAAUUAGGUUUAUUUAUAACAAUGCCUUCCAAAACUACGAUUAAAGCUCACUUUUAUCAUUUGGCUUAUUCAAACUUGUGUGUAAAGAGACGAGUUCACUACCUUCACCAACAACAAGACCUCUUAUUCAAGCCUCUUCUUUGAAUUACUAUACUAAACAAACUGUAACUAACAAGGAUAAGAGUGUAGGUAGGUGCAAGAAUUGACAAAACACAGACAUAUUCGCAAAAUAUUAAGGCUCUGUUUGGUAUCCUAUUCAAAAAAGUAAAUUAAAAAACUAUGAUUCUUUUUAAAAACAUGAAUUUUCAAAUGGGAAUUUUAAGAUCUAAAAACUUGUUUGGUAUUAAACUCCAAAUUAAUUUUAAGAUCUAAAAAAAUUGAAAUUAAAAUCAGAAAUAAGAAACCCUAGAUUCCAAAUUGAAAUUAACAAGAGAGAGAGAGAGAGAGAGAGAGAGAGAGAAUCUCACUUUUUUUUUGUUUUUAAUAAUGAAGGUGUUUUUGAGUUUUUCUUGGGUUUGAGUUUUCAAAAAUGGGCCUACCAAACGGAUUUUUAUGAGUUUGGACUUAAAAUCUGUUUUUGAGUUUAUGAAAUUAGAUCCAAAUAAAAUACCAAACAGACCCUAAAAAAUUCAUUUGGAUUAUGCUAGUUAGUGAGGACAAUAAGUCUGUCAUCUUGAACACGAGUUUGAAUCCUCUCAUCCAAAUUUACUAGUAAGGUAAAAUAAUUAUAGGACCAUAGUGGGUCACACACAUUAUAAAGAUGGGCCUCACUCUUUGGAUAUCAAUAUCAGGCCCUUGCGCAUAUAAGAACCAAACCCAAAUGUCACAAAAAUUGGUCCCCAUUUCCAAUUGGCGAACCUUUCAUCCUUUGGAUUUGCAUAUAAGAACCAAACCCAAAUGUCACAAAAAUUGGUCCCCAAUCCUCUGAAUCUGGAUUGGACAGAGAGAGAGAGAGAGAGAGAGAGAGAGAGAAAUCCCUUGAAUUAGUGGUCCACUCUUAGUUGGACCAUUAAUGGCUAAAAGUAUACGUACGUAGAUUAAUCAAUGAAGUAGAGCCAUCAGAUCAAUUGGGGGUUCAAGUUUUAACCAUCAGGAUUCUCAGGACCACGACACCUAUAGGCUGUAUAUAGUGGCUGUAUAUAGUAUUUAAAGUUUCAACCAGAAAAGUGACAUAAACUGCUCAAAAACCUACAGAUGGAACUGAUAAUAACUCACAAAGUUAUAACAUCUUGGUGUGAGGUCUCACCAACAAGCUACAAGCCACCCAUCAUCAGCAUUAAAUUUAGAUAUUUACUAAUAUAUUCAUUCUUAACAUUAAUAAUAUAAAUAAAUUCUAUAUUAUUUAAUUUUUACAAAUAAACUCAAAAAAUAACAGCUGGUUCUAUUGAAUUUAAUUUUGAUUAUUAAAUUACUUUGAUGUCCUGUUGAUUUUUUUGGAUUUUUUUUAAAUGAGGUUUUGAAGUUGGGCUUGUUUUGAAAAAUCGAUGGUAGUUUUGUAAUUUAUAAGAAAUUAAAAGCCUCUUUGUUAUGUUGUAAAUGAAUUUUAAGUGUAUUUCUAAAGUCCAUUUCAUAUAGAAUUAUUUUAUAACUUAGACCCUUAUAUUAAGUAUAACAGUGAACCACCCUUCACUUCUGAGUACCUGAAUUUUAUUUCGUGCCCACAGAGACUGAUAGUUGUGGGAUGACAAAAAGGAGGGGGUUUAUAAUUAAUCCUGCGGUCGCUCACACUAUAUAUAUUUAACAAAUCAAAUCAUUAAAACCGAUUAUAUUUUAUACAAGACAAUACAUAUCUGGCUAUUGACCAUUGGCUAAUUUUUUUCUUCUCAUUAAACCCAUCAGCUCAAGCGUGCUGGGGGGGGGGGCCGAAUCUUAAUUUGUCCUGUUGUAGACAAACUAAGCAGAGAAAGUUUCUAGGAAGGCUGCCGAUAGAACAUGGUGCCGCUACUUUUCUUGGUAAGACCUACACAUCCAAGCAGUACUUUAUUUCUACGCAUGAUUGAUUGUGCAUGUCAACUAAAUAUUAAGUCAGCUACGAGCUGUAUCCGAUUGUUUAGCAUACAAUUAGAUUAGAUUGGGCAUUUAUUGUACUUAAACAAGUUUUUGAGAUAUGUUAUCGACAGUCAGUUGUAUGUAAUUUGCGUGAAGAAUUCAUGUACAUAUUCAUUAACAACUGAAAAUUCUUUUACGCUUUCGCACACACGAUGAUGUUUUCGAAAAUGUUUUACUUACGUGAUUGUUGUUAGAAUCUCCAUACAUCUGUUGGUCAAGCCAGUUGGUAAUAUGCUACUCCUACUAGGAACACAAUUUUUGUCUUAACCCAGCGGAAAACGACGGCUUCCAUUUUUAUUUUAUAAGGAUGGAUGGCAGUUGAUGAUUACUUACUAUUAUUCUUUUCUUCAACAAAUCCCUAACCCACAUUUUAAUCGUGUAUCUGUUUAUAUCAACGAAAUUAGGUAAAAUUAUACCCACUACGCCAUCUGUCAACGCGCAUGAUAAUUCCGAAAAAUUAGGUUAAAUUCCAAUUUAUUUAUCUUUCCUUUUUUUCAAAAACCUGCCGCCCCCAUAAGACGUAACUGUAGAAUACCACGUUUCCCUUAGGAAAAUGAUAACGAUAAUGAUAAAGGCAGUCAAGUCAACAAUUUAGAUUAAAGAAGAGAUAACGAUCAGCCAAUCCGAUAAGGCCACGUAAGUACUUGUACACCUAAAAAGGAAAGCAGGGAAAAGGCCUUUCGUCGGUGAGAGAUAGAGAGCACAGCAUACAACUGAUAAGCCAGGGAUUGUCUCAACAAAGACUCUAAAAUCUGGUGUUACUUUUCUAAUAAAGUUAGCUUCCUUGAUGAGUUGUUUCUUGCGUCAAAACCGCAGAUAAGAGAGAGAGAGAGAGAGGGGAAAAGGUUGUGUCUGUCACUCGAGUUUUUGAUUGGACAGUGCAGGCCGGCACUAGGGCAGGUAGACUUUGGCCACCCUCUCUAGUAGUGAUCCAGCCAGCUCUUGUUUCGUAGGGGCCCCUACGAUUGUUGGGCUUUUGGGCUUCGACUGCUUACUGUUUUGCUUUGCUUUAUGCGUUACCUUACAACAUGGGUAAAUAGUACUACCAUAAGUGGCGGACCUGUGCAGGCGCAAAGAGGUGCACUUGCAUUUCCGUUCGUCGGAAAAUUCCAUAAAAGAUGUUGGAGUUGCACAUGUAGAGACGCACACAAGUUGGUCGAUGAAAUGUGCAAAUGGCUUGGGCGCAGCGCGCGCUUCUUGUUUUUUUAUUUUAUUUUAUUUUUUUUAUAACAAAGCCUGGUUAAAACGACGUCGUUUUGGACCAGGCUUUAAAAUAAAAAAAAUAAAAAAAAGGAACACGUUUAUAUGGACACGGGUUGAUAAUUUUGAUUCGUACGAAGACAGAGAUGAAGUUUUCUGUUUUGCAGUCAAUCUACGAUCUUUUAGUCUGCCAGAUUUCCCCCAUAUUUUUGUGGCUAGGCAGUAUAGCUAUCUCUUCUGUAUAUGUAGUGUAUCCGAGUAUCUGAUUUUACUGAAACCCAAGAUUUAGGAUCUUUGUCAAAUAUGGUGGUCACUCCAUUGGAAUUAGUUUCUUGUAAACAUAAAGAUCUUGGUGAC
rnacentral:lncRNA from 1 species